AGUAUGAUGACAAACCCUACUGCAACCACUGCUACAUGCAGCAGUUUGGACCAAGAGGAACAGGACGUCCAACUUCUCGCUUGUGUCUUGGGGCAACUUCCUCUUCCGUGGUUCCAGUCAGAAAUAAGAACAGAUCCUAGAUGAGCCUUCUUUAAUAUCCAGACUGUGGAGAAUCAUCGCUAGAUCAUAAUAGAGGGGCAAAAUGCCAAAACUGAUUUUUUUCCCAUAGAGUAUGAAAAAGAACACUGGUAUCAAGAAUGUCUGAUAAUCCAGGAAAACUGUAAAACAAAGUGCUAUUCUCGACUGAAUACUUUUUAUCAUAAUUAAAUGUGCAUUGUGACAAAUAAUUUUUAAUGAGCAGUAAUAAAUUUUAAUGGCA